GUGCCUUAAACUAAUGAGUAAGGAAAAUUUACAAGCCUUGGUGACUCUUGGCUCUUACAGCCAUUAAUGCUGUCAACUUAAUUUUUGGAGGGGUAAAGGUCGUCCCCUUGACCGGUUCGUCUACUUUGCGAGUCCGGUCGGGCGAUAGCGAUCUGCCCC